CUUCCUCUUACCUUCUGCUGUAAAGCAAAUCAUCUCUCCAUCAGGAUUUUUGGGGGAAUGAGAGCGAAAAUUUAUAAUUUCUCGCAAUAAUCAGGUAUGUUAUCAUCCUAUAUGUAAUCCUCUUUUCAGGAAUACAGAUUUUCAUUAUUCGUACCGAUUUUUUAACAAAACGCUUAUUCUGUAAAAUAUGACACGUUUGCAUAACCUGCUUUGCUUUGGCUUAAUGCUUUGCAUGAACAAAACUAAGCAAACUCCAGUGUGUGCUUAUAGAUGUCUAUGGUAACCUUCUAGGCACGUCCGUUUUUAGAGAGGAAAAUAUUAAACUUUAACGUUAACUUUAUGUCACCCUUUUAAACGUUUUAUCUGCCUGUCUAGCCUUAGAAUACCUUCUUGGGGGCUAAAUAAAUUGGGAAAUGUGGAGAAUUGAUUAAUAAUUCUUUGAAAAAUACAAAUAUCUGAAUUGGCAAACUAGCAGAGUUAGACAAUUAACACAGUUUGGUUUUGAAAUAAAAUUGUCAAUUCUUUGUCAAUUCUUCGCAAUGCACAGUCUGUUAAUAAUCUCUUUAAUCCGCUGCAUUAUAUAUAUAAAUAUUGUAUGUUGCCGGAUCAGGCAAUCUGUGUUAGUUUGUGGAUAUACAAAGGUUGUCUAGACAACCAGAAACCUGGGCACUUUUACCUUUAUUGAUUGACAUUGUAUAUUUUGAAAUGCUCUCGAGGAGAAGUCUAGAAAUAGAUAUUAAACUACAAUUCCACUUUCCUUUUUCAAGUAGGAUUAUAUCAUUUGUUAGGUCACCAAAACCUUGUUUGUUUGCCUUUUUUUUAACCCCUUUAGGACCAAACUUCUGGAAUAAAAGGGAAUCAUGACAUGUCACAUGUCGUGUCCUUAAGGGGUUAAGGAAAUGUAGAAUUUCUAUUUCACAAUUAAUAAUAAUAAUCUCUGUGUUAGUGUUUUAUAUAUCUGCUGAGACAUUAUACUACAAAAAUGUUCCGUUGCAAACUAUUGAUAAAUUUUCGGGUUAAAAAACACAGAAAAUUAUCUUUUCUUCAGUGAAUAAUUGAGGUCAAUACGAAUAUAGUAAUUAUAAAAAAAAAAAAAACAACAAAAUGUGUGCAAGGCGCUAAGCAAAACAAAUAUGUGCUCAGUGAUUAUUAAACUUGCACUUCACACAAUGCAGACAAUUCCCAAACUCACAACCCCAUAAAAAGUGUUGCACUGUACAAUUCUGUCUUAUGCAUACCUCACAUGUGUCCCUAUUUAGGAAGGACAGUCCUUAUUUUUGGCCCAAAUCCCCCUGCCUCGUCACUUGGUCACACCCACACAAAAAUUAAAAGGGAUCAUGCAGUCAUCAGCACAACUACAGCUAACUGUAGUUGUUUUGGUGAGCAUAGUAUGUCCCUGCAGGCAGGGCCGGUGCAAGGAUUUUUGCCGCCCUAGGCAAAAGUAAAGUUUGCCGCCCCCCCCCCGUGACAUCACAAUGCCCCACCCAUAUGACCUGCCAUGUUAACUAACGCUAGUGCUGCAGUGCCACUCUGUUUACAUUAAAAGGCCUGCAGGGACAGGCUAUAGACACCAGGACCACUACAUUAAGCUGCUGUGGUUCUGGGGACUAUAGUGUUUCUUUAAUGUGAGGUAAAUUAGAGAUUAGUGCCACGAAUAAUAUACUAGAUUACCUACUUACAAGCAGAUGAGGAUGAUGAUGGGCUCUAGCUGCAGUCUGGCCAUUGGCGGAUCCAGGGGGGGGGCAACGGGGCAAUUGCCCCCCCCGAGAUUCCCCCCUGCCGGUUAACGCAGGGCUGGCAUUCCCCAAGUGCCAGCCCUGCAAUGUGCCUGCGGACUGGGGAGGAAGAUCACAGAUCUCCCUCCCCGGUCCGCAGGCACUGUGCUGACAGCCGGCACGGGAGGGAGGGAGUGAGAGAGAGGACCCGGAGCUCAGUCUGCAGCUCCUCCGGGUCCUCCUCUCGUGAGAUUUGGAGCGUUGCCGCGGUUACCACGGCAACGCUCCAAAUCUCGCGAGAGUGAACUCUAGCCCGGGAGCGUGGGCUAGAGUUCACCUCACCACCACUGGGACCACCAAUGAAUCACCACUGGGACCACCAAUGAAUCACCACUGGGACCACCAGGGAUCGAAAUAUGUCCCCCCUCCUCCUAAAUAAAGGUAAGAAGGGAGGGGGGACAUAGAAUAUUUAUUUUAUAAAAUAAAAAAAAAAUAUUAUUUAAAAGCCUCCUUCCCCAUACACACACUGCUCCCCCUAUUACACACAGUGCCUCUAUUACACACACUGCCCCCCAUUACACACACANNNNNNNNNNNNNNNNNNNNNNNNNNNNNNNNNNNNNNNNNNNNNNNNNNNNNNNNNNNNNNNNNNNNNNNNNNNNNNNNNNNNNNNNNNNNNNNNNNNNUGAUCCUAUAGGGCUCCUUUAAUUUUACAUACUGUCCCUAGUGGUGCCUCUAGAGCAUCAACCUUAUUAUGCUUUAUACAUGGCAUAAAUCAUUGACAAUUGGUUUGUUAAGCCAGAAAGCAAACACUUUUAAACAAAUAGACAGACCAAAAUAAAACAAGACAAACUUUCAAAAGUAUAUAAUAAAUGUUAAUAAAUGUAAUAUAAACUUAGUCAGAUUGCAUUAUUUGGCACACUUUUCAGCCAAGGGAGUUACUUCAGCCCCUUAUCCACCCACUAGUACAGUACAGACCAGUCCACAUAUGACUGAAACAUGGCAACAUCGUGUACGGUAGCAAGCUUCUCAUUCUCCCUGCAAGGACUGGCACAGCUCCGGAUCCCAGAGUUUGCUCUGCAUGAAUCACACUGAUCAGAUUCCUUCUCUUGUCUCUCUGUCAGUAUGUUGCAAGAUACAUUUUACUUUCAACUGCACAUGUGUAAAUUUCUCAGGCAUGCCCAAUGCACAUUUCCAGUAGUCUUAGGGAUAGAAUAUUGGUUAGGUCAGUGAUCCCCUGGAGUGGGUGUUGAAAGCAUAAGAAAGAAGAAUGGAACCAAAAUAGUGUAAGCGCUUAGCAAAUAUACCCCACAACAAUGUUUAGGUGUAACACAAUAUAAAAAAAUAUAUAUAUAAACUUUGUCCAAAAGUUCUGGUAUAAGGUGUCAGGGGGAAUGGUAUUAAAGGAUCACUAUAGUGUCAGGAAAACUAAGCGGUUUUCCUGACACUAUGGUGCCUUGAGCUUACCUUUUUCCAGCGCCAGACUCCCUCGGCGCUGGUGACCACUCCUCCACCGCCAAGUCAGCUCCCUCUGCUGACAUCAGUGGAGCCGAAUGCGCAUACAUGGCAAGUGCCGUGCGCACAUUCGAGCUGUCAAUAGGAAAGCAUUGUUCAUUGCUUUCCUAUGGACACUCUGCGUGAUGGAGGCAUAAUAUACCUCCAGCGUCGCAGAUGUGCCUCUAGUGGCUGUCCGGAAGACAGCCACUAGAGGCUGGAUUAACCCUACAAUGUAAAAAUAGCAGUUGCUCUGAAACUGCUAUGUUUGCAUCUGAAGGGUUAAAACCUGAGGGACAUUGCACCCAGACCACUUCAUUGAGCUGAAGUGGUCUGGGUGACUAUAGUGUCCCUUUAACUGUAAUUCUCAAUUUGCAUCUGUAUUCAGCUCCUAAUCGGUGUUUUCACCUCUGUGUCCUGUGUGCAAUAUUGUAUCCACCUUAUAAACAAUAGAGAGAUGGAAACAUUGCAUGAUACAGCUUCUUUAUUUAAAAAAAACCAAAAAAUGUAAAUCCCCUAUAUGAAAACUCUUACAAGAGAAUAUGGUGGUGCAUGUGUAGAAGUACCACUGUUGUGGACAGAAUAUUAACUCUAUUCAUUUUAGUAAAAUGCCUAUUUACUCUGCAUAACUAUAAUCAAUAUUAUUCAUAAGUUAUUUAAAAUGGCCGCUAGGGAGUUUUCCCCGUUAUCAACUAACACCCUUGAAUUAACAAGAUGGUGCUGGAAUCUGAAGGAGAGCUCCAUGAUGCCAGUGACAUCACACCCAGUAGGAUGAGCAAUCAAUGAACCACUUAACACCUAACCAAUUAUUGAUGUAUUCUUCUCUGUUAUCUAUAAUUAUGCAUAUGAUGUAUUUCUGCUUUAUAAGGGGCAUACCUGCCCCUCCCCCCCCACCCCCCGGAAUAAAGAUGCCUGAGUUUUUCAUUAACCUGGAAACUUGUGUCUGGUGUGAAUUAAUUCAGGAAGCGUGCACGCAAAAUAUAAUUAAUUUGGACACGGGCAGAUACACUAAAAUAUCAAAUACUUGAUUUGAUCCACUGCGGUUUCGCCGGACCAAAGCGGACUCCCCCGAGACGGGACCGGAGACUGAUCACCUCCUAAGAUAUAUGGUAAUUGCCUAUAUUUUCCUGUAUUGUGUUGGUCUACCUCCGGGUCCAUUCCGGCCUCCAGAAGGCAACAAAGACAGGUAAAAUUCUUGCCCGGUGCCUCUUUAUAAGAACUUGUUGAUUGUCUAUCUGCCUCCUGGGUGUGGAAGGGUUUGCUUGAGUAUUUGAUAAGUUUUAGUGUAUUGAAUUGUUAUUGUUAGCAUGACUGCUUAGAAAGCAGGGAAAAGUGACUGCCCGGAGAAGGUCUGGGAAUUUUUAUUAUGAUUGUUAUUGUUAGCUUGACUGCUUAGAGAGCAGGGAAAAGCGACCACCUAAAGGAAGGCUGUGUUUUUGGUACUAUUUGCUUGACCGGCUAGAAGGCUGGGUCUGCUACCACCGGAGAGGGGCUGGGAAUUUUGUUAUACUGUUCAGAGAGGAACAGGGUUUUGCUGAUUUAUUGCUGUUAUGGUUGCUAUAUUGUUAUUUCUUAUUAAUUGUUAUUACAUUGUGGUUAUUAUUCAGCUGGGAUUAUAGUGUGUGUGGUCGCAUCUGUGUGCGUUGAGUGGUUUAUUAUUGACUCGAGACUUUGUGCACACAUCUACAUCUGUGAUUCUUGUAAAUGUCUUCUUAUUUGUUUUUCCACCUUCACCCUCUGUCUUGACCCAUAGCAGUGUUAGUCACCCACUAUUCGCCUCUCUCCGAUCCGUGACCACCAUCUCGGAUGGGCAGAUCCCAUGACUCGUCUACGUUUCGGGAAGACGCACGCAGAUUCAUUUCUCGUGGCAGUCAAGCACUGUAGAUGCUCCUUUUCUUGUUUCCAACUCUAUAUCUCUCUUUCAAGGGAUGCCUUGUAUACUGAGAAUGGGACAGGAACAUGCUAAACAUUCGACAUGUUAUUUGGCUUGUGAUUUGGUAAAGGAAAGAGCUGGUGAGGAGGCUAUGCUUAAAAUGAAAAAGAUCUGUGGUGUUUCGAUGUCUCCCAGCGGCCGUUUACAACCAGAGUGCUGAAGAAAAGUUGUUGAAAGAUAAGGAAGGGUUGCUACUCGAUCAUGGGUUAACUAAGGCUGCAUAGGCUUGGUAUCGUGUGGCAAGAGGACUUAAACGGAGGGUUGGUUUGAGGAGGAAUUGGAAUUUGAAGGACAGAAAGUUUAUGUGUAUCAUGAAAAUGUUUGCACUGUUGAUUCAUCUCUCGAUAUUACCCGGCCACCGCCCUAUGAUGGCGUCCGGCAAAAAGAUGAGAGCAACCCCGCCUCCACGAACACUGCCCAACUCGCCUAGUCACAAGCUGUAACUGACACUGCCCCCUUAACACCCACCCCUUUGAAUCUCGUCCUUGGGGUUGAUGGGUCGUAUUAUUACCCUGUCCCUCCUCCCAUUCAUGUACCCACCCCUGUCCCACUUCCCGUCCCAGCCUCUGCUCCACCUCCUGUAUCCACUCCUGUCCUGCCUCUCAUGCCCGUCUUCACCCUUCCUCCUGUUCCCACCCCAGUCCCUCCUCCCAUCUCAGCUUCUGCUCCACCUCCCGUGCCUGUUUCCGCCCCUUCUCCCAUCCCCGUUCCUGUUCCGCCUCCCACCGUCACUCUUGCCAUGUCCUCCCCUGAUCCACCUCCCAACGUUAUUUAUCCUGUCCCUACCCCUGUUCCACCUCCUUCUCCUCUCCCAGUCACCCCUAUGUUUGUGGAGGAGCCAGACCUCAUCUAGGUACAGUGCCUCUAAAUCUACCUCCUGAUGUUGAGAUAUGUUUCUUAAGUCACUAUGUGCAGUAAGUUACAAACUCAUCAGCAUGAGAAUCAUGGAAGAAGAUAUACCCUCUAACUCAAAGGGAUGUCAAACCACCUGAUGGAGUAUAUCCAGGUAAUUACACUUGCUACACUACACACAGUACCACAGGAAAAUUUAUGGGAAAAUUUCCUUCUGGGUAUUGUGCUAUGUACCGGCCUCCUAUUACCUUGCUAAUGAAUCAAGUUAAAUCCUUGGGAGACAUUUAUUGGUUAUGUGGGGACAUGCAACUUAGAUCCAAAUUAACAGGCUUAUGUUGGGGGGAAUGUGCUCUGACCAAAGUUAUCAUGCCCAUACACAUCAUAUCAGACAACCACCAAGGCCCUCUUGAUUCACCCCACACAUAUUUUAGAUUGAAAAGAGAGACUCCUGUACAGGGCAGUUUCGACCCUCACAUAUACAUAGAUGCCAUAGGGGUGCCAAGGGGGGUGCCAAACGAAUUUAAAGCCAGAGAUGAGGUUGCGGCUGGAUUCGAAUCCUUAAUUCCACUCAUCACAGCCAAUAAGAAUGUAAACUGGAUUAACUAUAUCUAUUAUAAUCAGUAACGCUUUGUCAAUUAUACCAGAGAUGCCCUCCAGGGCCUGGCCGAGUAGUUACAAGCCACUUCCUAAAUGACAUUUCAAAAUAGGAUGGCCCUAGAUAUGAUUCUGGCAGAGAAAGGAGGUGUGUGUAAAAUACCACGACAUGUUGCACUUUUAUCCCAGAUAACACAGGCCCUAAUGGAAAAGUAACAAUGGCCAUCGAGAAGCUUGAAAGCCUCUCAGAAGAGUUAAAAAGAAACUCAGGGAACACCAAUUCAUGGGAUAGAUGGUUUGGAUGGAUUUUAAGGGGGGAUUGUUGUGAACAGAAUAUUAACUUUAUUAAUUUUAGUAAAAUGCCUAUUUACUCUGCAUAACUAUAAUCAAUUUUAUUCAUAAGUUACUUAAAAUGGUCACUAGGGAGUUUUCCCCCUUAUCAACUAACACCCUUGAAUAAACAAGAUGGCGCUAGAAUCUGGAGGAGAGCUCCAUGAUGCCAGUGACAUCACACCCGGUAGGAUGAGCAAUCAAUGAACCACUUAACACCUAACCAAUUAUUGAUGUAUUCUUCUCUGUUAUCUAUAAUUAUGCAUAUGAUGUAUUUCUGCUCUGUAAGGGGCAUACCAGCCCCCCCGGAAUAAAGAUUCCUGAGUUUUUCAUUAACCUGGAAACUUGUGUCUGGUGUGAAUUUAUUCAGGAAGUGUGCACGCAACAUAUAAUCAAUUUGGACAGGGGCAGAUACACUAAAUUAUCAAAUACUUGAUUUGAUCCACAACAAUUACUAAAAAAGAAGAAGAAGCAUGAAAAUAUGAAACUUACCUUUUAGCCAGCUGUUACAGCUUUUAAAUGACUCUUUAAUCUAGGACUGGAAGUUGUUUAGUGAGUUGUUGCAUCAUAAUUCAAUAGAUGAGAUGACACCUUUCUGCAUGGGAACGCUGGGCAGUUGCCCGAUGGCCCCACAAGCAUGGGGGCCCCAGCGAGAUGCCUAUGUGCCCAGGCCGACAGGGGAAAUCUUUUGAUCUCCCCUUCCGGCCCAAGGAGAGACGGCUCUGCUUACUUGCUUAGGGCACUCUCAGGCCGGUGGAUAGAUCAAAGGCCCUUCAUUGCUGAGAGGGAGGAAGAUAGGACCCAGGACUGCAUGAGAGGGAGGACCUGGGAGGCAGUUCCUCCCGCGAGCAUGCUGGUCUGAGCGCAGCCGCGUGUUGCCGUGGCAAAGCUCCGACACAGAAAUAUGCUCGCGGAGGAGUGAAGACAGCCUGCAGCCAGAGGAGCUGCAGGCUGUAAGGUCUAUAGAACUCAUCACCGUACCACCAGGGCUGAAAAGAAGGUUGGGUGGGAAGAAUAUGAAUCUUUUUUUAAAAUUUAUUUUAAAUAAAAAUUACAAAACCCCUAUGCACACUCCUCACAUACAGCACCCUUAACACACACAGCACCCUUCACACACACACACACACACACACACACACAGAGCACCCCUCACUCACACACACACACACCACUCAUCACACACACAUUAUCACUUACACAGCACCACACACAUACACACACAGCACCUCACACACACACACACACAUAGCAGCUCACUCAGACACACAAACACACACACACACACACGGCACCUCACACACACACAUAGCAACUCACUCAUACACACAUCACCUCACACACACACACUGCACCUCUCACAUACACGCAGCACCCCUCACACACACACACACACACACACACACACACACACACACUGCACCCCUCACACACACUUCACCCCUCAACACACACUGCACCCCUCACACAGACACACUACACCCAUCAUUGUCUGUCUGUGUGUGUGUGUAGCAAUCUGUGUGUGUGUGUUCAGCAGUCUUUGUGCAUGUAUUCAGCAGUCUGUGCGUAUUCUGCAUUCUGUGUGUGUGUAUUUAGCAGUCCGUGUGUGUGUGUGUAUUCAGCAGUCUGUGUUUGUAUUCAGCAGUCCAUGUGUGUGUAUUUAGCAGUCUGUGUGUGUGUAUUCAGCAGUCUGUGUGUUUGUAUUGUAUGAAUGUAUUGCAUUUCUUGAAUGUACCAAUUAAUAUAAGCUUAAUUUUAUGCAGUCUCUGUGUAUGUAUUCAGCAGUCUGCAUGUAUUCAGCAGCCUGUGUGUAUGUAUUCAGCAGUCUGUGUGUGUUCAGCAGUCUCUGUGUAUGUAUUCAGCAGUCUGCGUGUAUGUAUUCAGCAGUCUGUGCGUAUUCUGCAUUCUGUGUGUGAGUAUUUAGCAGUCCGUGUGUGUGUGUGUAUUCAGCAGUCUGUGUUUGUAUUCAGCAGUCCAUGUGUGUGUAUUUAGCAGUCUCUGUGUGUGUAUUCAGCAGUCUGUGUGUUUGUAUUGUAUGAAUGUAUUGCAUUUCUUGAAGGUACCAAUUAAUAUAAGCUUAAUUUUAUCAAUAAUUUACAUUUUUUUUUCUGGUGAGUAGUUGUGUAGGAAGGGCCCCAGUACACUGCUUUGUCCGGGAGCCCAUAAUGUUGUUAAGAUGGCACUGAUGAGAGGCAUACUUUAAACAAAAAUAUGUUUGUAUCAUAUGUAAAAUGUUCACACUCAUUGUGUGUGUGUGUGUAUCAAUUUUUAUUAUAUUUAAAACGGUCUUGCUUUUUUUAUUAGUGUGCAAGGGAUUGGGAUGGGGGAAACUCGAGAAUUCUGUGGCUGCACACAAAUUUGAUGUAAAUAUGGCCCUGAUAACCACAUCACUAAUAUAAAGUAGUUGUAGUGCAAAGAUUAACCCUUUAAUAGAUUAAGAGUCAUAUAAACUUCCUGAGCACUGUGUAGUACACUGUAUAGUACACUAUGCAUACAUACAAUUAUGUUUUAAUGUAUAUAUAUAUAUAUAUAUAUAUAUAUAUAUAUAUAUAUAUAUAUAUAUAUAUAUAUAUAUAUAUAUAUAUAUAUAUGUAUAUAUAUACAUACAUACAUACAUAUAUAUAGUAUUCACUUCUCUUCAUCCCUAAACCUAUGCUUGGUAGCUGUUCAAGGAAUACUUCUUUUCUAAAUUAAAGUGUUGAAUUUAGCAGAUGUCCCUGACAAAUUAGCAAAGAAUGAACUAAGAGAGGAUGUUACAAAAUACUGGGACUGGAGAUAAAAUCAAUUACAUAUCUCAGAGGCAGAUUUUAGCACCAUAAAAUUUACAGGUGAAUGUGCCCCUUACUAUAGCCAGUUCACAGCGGCACAAACCUUCAAAUAAAUAAUUGGGUUGACUGGAGGCUGAAGGAGAAAAAAACGGAUUUGAUAGCAUAAAUCAAGCUUGGCACUCAUAAGCUGGGCUCUGAAGAUUCACCAAAAGAAUCAAUAACUCCAGAAAAAACAUGUUUUAUGUAUGGCUUUGAGCAUCAGGAUGCCUUAUUAUGACUGCUGCUAGAUUUGUUCAUUUUAAUAGGUAUUUCUGGUAAAAUAAAAAAGUGGAGUACCAUUACAUCAUGAAAUACAGAGACACAUUUUCUCUUAAUCACUGUUCUUUAAUUUCUCUGCUCUUCCAGAUAUGUGAGCACCUGUCUGAUUAUAAGCUUAGCAUAUUGUAUGUCAAAUUUUGUGCUUCAAAGCCAUUACUCAUCACAAACAAGCCCAAAGUUCAAGUGGCUUAUGACAGUCUCAAAAACCACUCAAUGGCAUUACGUUCACAUAUUGCCUUAUGGAUCUUUGAUAUUACAUGAUUUUUUAACAAGUAAGGCUAGAAUUAGGGCUUUUUUAAACUAAAGGCAGAACAGGCCUACCUGAAAUUGUUGGGUGUAUGGCUCCGAGGUAACAGCUGUCAAAUGUGUCUACUUUUCUUAGAGGGCUGCAUAAAGCAGCAUGACCACUUCAGCGAUUUGAAGUGGUCAGGGUGCUGAAGUCUCUAUGGGCAACAUUUCAGUUUAAAACACUGCACAUACAGAGUUAAAGACUUUUGCGGCAGAAGUGUAACUCCACCUCGACAGUGUCAAAAACCAAUGAUAAUUCGGUGCGCAUUUAGCGUCUGUUGUCAGCCAAUGGUGGCAUUUUUGAGAAUGCACCAUCCCAAAAUACCAGCGUAUAACUGUCUCCAUGCUGGUGUAAUGCCUGCAAUUGUUUACAUUUACAACUCAGAAAAUGUUAGUUUAAAAAAUGUAAUCAUCUAAAUUGUUAACUAGUCUUUAGAUCUUUAAAAUUUGUUGUGAAGUACAAAAUAAUACUAAAUACUAGGUUUUCUUGUCUUUGUUGCAUUUAUUUUGUUUGGGAUUUAUCAAAAGGUUUUGCAUUAUCUGCUAUUUGUUAUGUUCCAGAAUUUAUUGUACUGCUAAAAAUAAUUUUGAAAGGGCAAAUCUCAUCAAAUAAUGGAAUAACAACAACAAAAGCUAAAAUAAAGAAGUAUCAUUAGAGCUGUCAACAUUUUGCAUGUGGAAUAUAUAACUGUUUGAACAGGUUUAUUGUGAAGAGUUUAUUGUGUAAAACUCAUAAAUUCCUUUUUAAUAUAUUAAGGUGGAAACAUUAUUUUUCAAAUAAGAAAUGUCAUGAGCUGAUUAUAUGGAAUUAAGAUUGGAAAUAUUCAGACUUGAGGAAUAUAUAAAUUCUUAUUGGUGCUGGUCAAGAUGCGAAAAGUGUUGAUUAAUGUUCACAAAAUGUUUCAUUUUAUUUACGUAUUUCGAAAUGUUAUAGUAUUUUCUUAUAUUAUCAACUAAAGCAGGAAAUGGCUAAAAUGGCUGCCACUAACAUUAACGAGUAGCAGCUGUUUCAAUACUGCAAAAUCCUACCAUUAGUGACUCAUAAUUCCUGCCUGAUGAGACUUUCAAUGUCACCCAUAGAUAAUAAUAUGAGACUAUAAGUGCUAGUUACUGACUCAAUUUAAUUCUACACACUAAAUUUUAUUGGCUCUGCUAUUUUACCAAACACAAAACUUGCCUCAGCUUGGCAUAAACAGAAAAAGUCAUAUUGACAGCUGCAAACUCUUCAUAUCCCCAUAUGUCCAAUUGUCUCUCACUGAUACCUAAAAUAAAUAAUUAAUAUUAACAGUAACUGUCUCAAAUAGUGUUUUCUGCCCCUUCCUUGACCUGAUGGGUUGGAUGGAGAUAGGCAAUUAUAUAUGGAGGCAAGAAGAUGGCCAACACAUUUGCCUAAUGGAACCAGCACAUGCCCAAAGUGGAUAGUCAAGCUGGAGGGAUGAGAUAGAUAUAGUAUGUAUAACGUCAACCUUUCAGUGUCACAGCAGACAUGUAAUAGGUAUAUAAAGUUUAAAAAUUAAACAAAAACAGUGGAAUUCUUUGGACACCAAUAAUGAUGAUACAGACCCAACUAGUGGGCAUUUCCAUGGCACAAUUUUGUUAUCCUUUACCUUAUCACUUAAGGAGUAUACUAAGGGGUGGGUCAUGUGUUUAAUAUUUAUUUAUUAUACAUAUAAAUAUGCAUGAUCAGUGAAUCAACUGGGAAACUUUUAUAACACUCCUGUCAUUAGUACAGAACUGCAAAGAGUGCAGCUAGCUGUGUAGUCCAUGCACAAAGUGAUCCCAGCAACUACCCACUUCAGGGAUACGGCUUCAUUCCUGCUCUCCCAGAAAAGGUUGGAAAAAGGGAUAAGGGAGAAAAACUAAAUUAACACAAAUUCUAGUACGAGUGUAUAAAUGCAUACUUCACAAGUAAUCCUUUUUUGGAGGGACAGUCCCUGUUUUGCACCCAGCCCCCACUGUUGCUUGUGUUUAUACAAAUGCCCCUCUUUGUAAGAACUAUUUUUUCUGUGUCUAAAUUUAUGCUAGAGUCCCACACCACUAUUACUAUAAUAUGUUUGUAACAGUGGUGACUGGUGAAGUUUUAAGAUGGGUCACCAGACUACUCCACCAGAAUGAUACCCCUCUCUAUACAGUUCAGAGAUACUCAUACAAUACAAAGAGCUGAGCACAAUAAAUGGGCACACAAUAAAACAUGCUGGGCACAACAUAAAUAUGUUUAUAAAAUAUACAGAGCUGAGUACAAUGCAGAGAUAACCAUACCACAAACAGAGAUGAGAAAAAUAAAUAGAAAUAUAAUAAACAGUGCUAAGCACAACACAAGGAUACCUAUACAAUGCACCGAGCUGGGUAGAUUACAGAGAUACUUAUAUAAAAUGCAUAGCUGACUAAAAUACAGAUAAAUAACAAACAGAUCUUGGUAUAAUAAGGAAACAACAUAAUUAUCCCACCUAGCCCAGAUCACUGUGAUGGAUUAAACAGCAUCAAUAUAGAGAUAUCCACACAGUACAUGUCUUUGUAUAAUGUUCUAGCCCUCUCUUAGCUAUGCCUCUCAUGAUCUCAAUCUUAAGUAGUGCUUCUGUUAUAAUUUUAGCUUUCUAAUAAAUAUUGCUGUUGUUAUGAAACAUGUCAGCUACUCCAUUAGCUCUCAGCAAACAUUGUACACAUGAUUAAACCAUCAAAAUACUGAUAGACUCCAAACAUUUUAGCAAUAACUGGCUCACUAUUAGCUCUGAGCAUACACUAUACACAUGGUUAAAGCAACAAGAUACUGAUACAUUUCUUAUUACCUUUGCAGUUUGAAAUAUAUGUAUGAAACUGAGCUUCCUGUACCCCGGGUAGGGAAUGAUGCUCCUAGUGCUCACCGAGGAAUCAGAGAACUCCUCCAGACACCAUAAGCACUGCAGACCCCACAACCGCCGCAGCUUGAUGGGGGUCUCGCCGUCUCCUACCCACCCUAUGACAAGGCUCCAGGUUCCACUGGGUGAACCUCUCUUCAUCCAGAGAGUCAAGCAGGAAUAGUUCUUACAAGAGCUCAGAGAAUCCAAGGGAGUUUAAUGAUAAUAGCAAUCCCUUGUAGUGAUAUAGCUGUCCCCUCCACACAAAAGACAAGACUCAAGUUUAGGGUGAAGAGGAACUCAAUUUUAAUGGAGGCACACUGGCCUUUUAUGCAAAUUUCCCAAUAAGUGUGACACCCAAGUGGACCGUGUUGGGCACAGGGACACAAAUUAACAAGCCAAUAAAAACAAUGAGACAAUAAAUGACACUCCCACAUACAGUACACCAUCCCUCCCCUCUGCCUGGGAGAUAAUUAAGGCAGAUAAUGCAUUAACUUAAUUAUCUCAAGGCAGAAAACGCAUUUUUUACAAAGUCCCAUAAGUACCCCAAAACACAACAUACCCCCACAAAUGGCACAUCCCUUGAUCUGGGUGAAAAACAUAUCCAAAAAUCACUCAGAUCAGAGCAGGGGUUCAGGAAAUUCUUGGAAGUCUCUUUUUGACUGACCGCAAGCAUGGCUUCAUGCCCAAAAUAGUUCCAGAGAGUUAGGCUGUGUAGCAGGUCUAUUUCAAACAGUCGAAGUAACAUUCAAAUAGUCGAACUGAGACAUUCGUGCAUAGAGUCAGUGAGGGUAUAGAUUAUUUCUAUCGAACGGCGCACCGUUUGUGCAAUUCUAGUCGAACCUAACUGGUGGUGGAAGUCCCAGCGGUGUUUGUGCCGUUGAGUGUCCGAUUUUAGUUCCAUCCACUCGACAGCAAAACACAGCUGGACACGCUCGACUAAACAAGAUGGCCACCGCCACGUGUUCGACUAUACGAAGCCGUUCAUCAAUUAACUGCAGUUAACCACAGCUUCUGGGAGUUUAAGGAGCAGCACACUCCACUUGCGGGUGGUCCGGCUGUUUGACAGUUCAAAGUCCCACUUCUAACCACUUUGGAAAUUUGAAGUGCUAACUCCAAAUGCCGAAGAGGGCACAAACAGUAUCCAUGAACACAAAACAUCCCAGGGCCCAUAGUCACAGGGUAAGAGGCAGGCAAGCAGGCCCCUCCAAAACCCAGUGGAGAAGUUGCUUUCAUCACAAUGUACUUUGCAGUGGGGAUUUGGGACCAAUAAGUCUCUGACAUGGCAACAGAAUCAGCAAUCAUUACAGAUUAAAAGAAAUUGAAAGCAGAAUCAUACCAGUUCUCAGAGUCACAGCCCCAGUCCUGUAGUUCGAAGCUUCACAUUUUUCAACUAGCAUGAGUGAUGGGUGUCUCAGCUGUAGAGUGACUGAGCACUUUCAAGAAGAUGGUGGAUAUGUAUAGGGGUUAUUAAAACUAUUAGUGGCAUACUGACAGGCAGCACAAGCACUGUGUCAAAAAUGUUCCCUUUCUUUGUGAUCCCUAGGCUUUGCUGGCAAGAUAUGUAUUAAUAUAUUUUAGUAAAUUCCCUUGCUUAAUCAGCUAUUAGACAAUCACUAGGGCUAUUGGGGUGAGAAAAAAAAGUGAUAUUAUACACUUGCAUUUGGCAGGGACCAAUAGCUGAUGCUGUGCUCUCCCUGUGCUACUUCGCAGGUGGCUGCUUCCUUCUCUCUCCUGUGGGAGCUGUAAGCCCACUUUCUGGUGGUAUCAGCCAAUGACCAUUAGAUGUAAGCCCACCUGCCACGUCAAAGCAAACUUCUUAGGUGGGUCCUGCACUAACCAUUCACCAGCAGCAAAGAAAUUAGUUAGGCAGGGAUUGUGCGCAGGUAACUCUUUUCUUUGCUGCCGGUGAAUUGUUAGUGUAGGAGCCACCUAAGAGGUUUGCCUUGAUAUCGCAGGUGGUCUUACAUCUAAUGGCCAUUGGAGUGAAACUCACUUUGUUUAAAUAUGCAUAGGGAUUUGGGAUUGUGUACAGGUAACUCUUUUCUUUUUUAUUGUAUGUAUUUGGGCUGAUUUGCUGCCGCCCAGGACUUAUUUUUGUGUAUUUGCAGAUACGAGCUAUUUUAGCUAGAGGUACGAGGAAUCUGAGCUAUAUAAUGUAUUAAAAAUUUUAAAAUAUUAAAUAUCCUUUUCCCCUUUUUUAUAAUAAAUUCUGAGAAGUAAUGAGGGUCUUGUAGACACCUAAAGGCCUACUGGCUGGCCCUGAUAAUGUAAGUGUAUUUAUCAAUCAUUCUUCCCUCCAAAUAAAAUCACUGGUGCUAUUUUAUACCACUUCUUUUAGAUUCUGUACAGGUUUCAAUCAGUGGCAUAACUACCACAGUCGCUGGGAUUGCAGCUGUUGACCCCUACAACCAUGAGCAAGCAUAACUUUAGGGCUGGUGCACUGGCCCGAGAUGCACAUUUGCCAGGUGACUGGCAGGAAGGGAUUGCUGUGCUUCUCCCCUACUGUCGCUGUGUGUAGUGUGGCUGAGCAGACUGCAGUCUGGCAUGAAGUGCUCACUAAGAGAGCACAUCCUAUUAGACCGGGUAUUGCUGUGAGCAGGUAUAUGAGGAGAGGGGGGAGAGAGACAUGGAGGGGCUGGGAGGGAGGGAAUGAGCAACAUGGAAGGCCUGAUGAGGAGGGAAUGAGACACAUAGAGCAGCUUGUGGGGGAGGGAAUGAGACACAUGAAGGUGCUGGGGUGGAGGAGAGGGAAAGAGACAUAUGGAGAGUCUGGGGGCAGAAUUAGACACAUGGAGGGCCUUGGUGGAGGGAAUAGGACAUAUGUUGGGUCAGAUAAAUUUUUGCACUGGACCCAGUGGUUUCUAGUUAUGCCUCUGGUUUCAAUGGGCUUGUUUGCUCAGGGAUUAAAUCACCCUUUUCUACCCGAUGCACAGCAUUCUAUUGCAAAUUGUACGGUUCUUUACUAAUAAUAGAAAUCAGGUAUUUUUAUAUUCUACAAACUUAAUUUAAUUUAAUUUAUUUCUGUUUUUUUAAAAUCAACUAGUUGUUAAAUGAUCCAUUCCACUUGGUGAGAAAAAAAAGUUACUGAUAGAAGGUUGAAAUACAAAGUAACACAUUUUCCUUACCUGAGUGUGACACAGAUUUUCCAGGGCACAUUACAUGCUCUUGAUUUCAAUCCUCAAGUGCUUUCUCAGGAGACUAAAACUUCACAAUAUACAGGACAAAAAAAUGAGAAUCUAGUUCUGUACUUGAUGUUGUAAGCAGAGAACUCUGAGCAUCUUAGAGCCAUCUCCAAUUCUCCCCAAGGGAAGGGAGCGAGAGCAAAGUAUCCCUCUGAACCUCCUCCUUCAGACACUCUCUCUAUUAAUCUGUACACUUUUUUUUCACAUCCCAUGUCCUAAGAGAGACUAUCUCACUGCAAUUUGUAUGGCUCUCUAGAGGUUUUUGUACAGAAAGCAAAUAAAUAAAUUUAUAAAUAAAUAAGGGACAUUGUAACUUUGUUCACAAUACCUAGCAAGAACAUUGUCCCACUUACCAGAAAUAAUAAAAACAAAUUAUUGCAUUAUUCACAAUUGCACAUAGCAUAAAUUAGAUGUAUGAAUCAGUAGAUUAAGGAGCAUAGAGCCUUGUGGGAACACGCAGUGUUAUUCAUCAUUCACCUGUUUGUGUUGCAGCACAAAAACUGAUUGGUGAGUCUCUAUGAAGUAGAAGUGAUAUUCUGAUCACUAAAUAUUUAGCCAAUGAUGUCACAACCCAGUUCAGUCCGGGCAUGGAUAGGUUGUACACUGCAAAUGAAGAGUAGAAAUAGAAACAGUUUUAUUUCUCCUAUUCUCUGUAUGCUUUCUCUGAGCUGUCAGGUGGAACAAGGCAGAGCUUAAUUAGAAUGAUUGACAGGAAGCUAAGAUGGAAGUGCACUUUUGCACGAUAAUUACAUGUAGAUGUCUAUAUUUAAUUUUAUUUUCACACGCACAAAUGCAUGUUUGUUAAAUAAAGAGGCCAAAUAAAUAUACUAUUUAAAAUUCGUGGAAGUGACAGAGAUUUUUUUAAACAGUCAUGACAGAGCUAAGAUCAGGACCAGUACAAGAAUUUUUGCCGCCCUAAGCAAAAAAUGUUGCCGUCCCAUUCGUUCCACCCACUCAUGCAGACUUACCUACACUGAUCCAUACACACACGCUGACCCAUACAGACACACCCACUGACCCAUACAGACACACACACAGUGACCCACACACAUGCUCACACUGACCCAUACACACAGACACUGACCUAUGCACACACACUGACCCAUGUAGUCACACACACUGACCCAUGCAGACAAGCACAGACCCAUACACACACACACACACACACUUACUCAUAAGGACACACACACGGACCGAAGCAGACACAAGCUGACCCCCUGCAGACGAACAGAGACCCAUACACACACACACAGACCCAUGCACACACACACACACAGACCCAUACACACACUUACUCAUAAAAACACACACACUGACCCAUGUAGACACACGCUGACCCAUACAGAGAAACUCUGACCCAUUCACACACACAGACCCAUACACACACACUGACCCAUACACACACACUGACCCAUAGAGACACACGUUGACCGAUACACAUACACAUAGACCCAUAGGCACAAACACUGAGACACACAGACACACUGACCCAUGCAGACGCACAAAGAUACACACACACACACACUCACAGACCAAUACACAUACACAGACCCAUACAUACAAACACACUGACACACAUACACACACACUCUGACCCAUGCAGACACACAGAGACUCAUUGGCACACACAGACCCAUACAUACACACACACACUGACCCAUGCUGACAUACAGACUCUUAUACACACACAUGCACACAGACCCAUACAUACACACACACUGACCCAUGCAGACACACAGAGACCCCCCCCACACACACACAGACACACACAGACCCAUACAUACACACACAGACCCAUACAUACACAUACACACUCAUAGACCCAGGCAGACUGACAUACACAAACAUACUGAUUGAAACAGACUGAAACACAUUCUAUGAAACGGAUACUGAGAAUUAUCUCUUACUUUCAUAGCACUUUGCUCUUCGUUCCUGUCACCUUUACUGCUCCUGGCAGCCAAAACACCAUUUUUCAGCCCCAUUUUCUGUUAUUCUUCUGCUCACUUAUUAUUCUCCUGCCCUUCGUACAGGGCAAGGGGCGGGAGUGAGCAAAUGACGCACCCUUGCGCUACCACGGUGCUUGUCAGGGAGGGGGGCCUUACUUUGCAGGCCAAGGUGAAUGCUGGACCAAUAUUUUACUGAGCGCAAGUCUACAAGUAAGCGUUCCCUAGCACCUGGUAACGUGGCCGACAGCAGCCGCGGAACACUCUAUGCGAUCAAUCCAGCUUGAUAGGGGGGCGGCCAGAUGAGCAGUAAAGCCACUGCCGGCGGUGGCCACCUACUUUGCCUAUAGGAAACAUCAACCCUGGCAAAGAUCAUUGUUUUCAUUAAGAAUACAUUAUCAUUACAAAGGUAAUACUAUAGAUACAGUUCUGAUAAUCUGUUGAUAAUCUUAUUAGGCCAUCCCAAUGUUCCAUGGAUAAUCAGAAAUAGAAAAGAAACUCAUAUUAUCAUCUGUUUAUCUCACUCAAGAUCAACCUUGCCUAAGUGCGAAAUACAUAUAAGAAAAAAUUAGAAAAAGUAGGAUAUUCUACAUUUCUCUUUGGGCAGGGCAGUUAGUUGUAAGCACUAUGCUUUAUCCAUUAAUAAUUCCUGACAAAUGUAAAUGGCAUUCAGUCAUCAGGCAGACUGCCCCCUACAGUCUUUGGUGUGCUACUUGCUGAUGACAAAUUAUUGAAGUCUAUGCUAGUAAGAUUAAUUUGUUAUCAUCAUAUCCUGACUAGAGCUGGAGCAAAAAAGGUUUUUGUUUUCUUCAUUGCCAGAUUCAUGCAGUUAUUAUAAGUAGUUUGAAGUCCAUUUAAUGCACUAGCCUUCCCUCCCCUUGAAAUGUUUGAUAAAAGACAGCAUGUAAUUGUAAACAGAAAGAUGAGGUUGAACAGCAGCCUAACCAAUACUCAGCAAAAACGUAUAAGCUUAAUACGCUGCCUGAGGAAUAUAAGAAUGGCCGUCAGCCAAAAAGCCCUUAAAAUUAGUAAUCCUGGGGGGAUAAUACCAUCAGCCAUCCACUUCUCAAAUGCGUCACAGUUGUCUUAAUUAUAAGCUCCCAACAACAGUCUUUCCUAAAGUAGAGACCAUGCAGAUGAUACAUACUUUAGUGUAGCGGGAGACUCAAAUAUUAGCAGUAUAAAAUGCAAUGAAUUAAUUAUUUUAUAUUUCUAUUUGCUUUAAUCUAGCUUCAAUUUCGCAUUCUUGCACUUAAGCAUUCUGUACUUCUCAGUGGUGGAAAUACCACUUGUGCAGCCAGUGUGGCUACACCAGGCCUGCACACUCUGGGGACCCAUCUGGUGCCUAUGCACUUAACUCCACAUGUUGGCAAAGUAUUUCCAGGGUCCUUUUACUGCGGUCCUUUAACAGUAUGACCGGGCCACUGUAAUCUUGGCAGCACUGGGAAGAAGUGACAGCACGUCAUUUUCUCUCAGAUAACACAGAGCCACAUGAGAGCAAAAGCAGAAGAGAGGAGGGGACGCAUAGUGGGAGAUCCUUUGACUUCCAACAGCCUCAGCUAACCGACUGGACCCCAGAGAUGUAAUCCUCCUGCACCCAGGGCCGGUGCAAGGAUUUUUGCCGCCCUAGGCAAAAGUAAAUUUUGACGCCCCCCUCCUCCCCCCCGUGACAUCGCAAUGCCCCACCCAUAUGACCUGCCAUGUUAACUAACGCUAGUGCUGCAGUGCCGCUGUGUUUACAUUAAAAGGCCUGCAGGGACAGGCUAUAGACACCAGGACCACUACAUUAAGGUGCAGUGGUUCUGGGGACUAUAGUGUUUCUUUAAUGUGAGGUAAAUUAGAGAUUAGUGCCACGAAUAAUAUACUAGAUUACCUACUUACAAGCAGAUGAGGAUGAUGAUGGGCUCUAGCUGCAGUCUGGCUCCACUGGUCUGGUGUAUAACAGGAUCUCUGGAGGCUGUUUGUAACUGUGGUCACACAAAUCAAUGUUCUGGGAGAACGAGAAGCAGCUCCAUUUUUUGGGGCCCUUUACACAGCUCAAGGUCUGGGUCCCAGGGUCCACCUUCAUUUUCCACCAAUGAGUUUGUUCACAGGGGAUGGAGUGUGUAGGGAAUGUCCUGAUUUGUGUGUAAGGAAUGCAUUGUGUGAAUCUGUGUUUGUAUGUGUAAGGGCUGCAAGGUGUGUUUCUGUGUAUGUAAGGGAUGAAGUGUGUGAGUCUGUAAGGGGUGCAUUGAGUGUGUGUAAGGAAUGCAUUGUGUGUUUCUGUGUGUGCAAGGGAUGCAUUGUGUGUAAGGGUUGCAUUGCGUGUGUGUGUAAUGCAUUGUGUGUGUAAUGCAUUGUGUGUUUUUCUGUGUGCAAGGGGUUCAUUGUCUUUGUGUGUAAGGGGUGCAUUGUGUGUGAUUGUGUGUGUGUGUGUGAUGGAUGUCAAUCUCUCCCCCCUCCCUUGUCACUCUCUUCUCCCCCCUUCCUUUGUUACUCUCAUUCCCCUUCCCUCCCCUGUCACUCCCCCCUCCCUGUCAAUUUCUCUCUCCCCAUCAAUAUCUCCCCCCCUGUUAGUUUCUUUCUUCCCCCCUCCCCUCCCUGUUUCUUUCUUCCCCCUCCCUGUUUCUUUCUUCCCCCUCCUUCCCUGUUUCCUUCUCCCCACUCCCUCCCUACCUGUUUCCUUCUCCCCCCUCCCUCCCUCUUUCUUCCCCCUCCCUCCCUGUUUCUUUCCCCUCCCUNNNNNNNNNNNNNNNNNNNNNNNNNNNNNNNNNNNNNNNNNNNNNNNNNNNNNNNNNNNNNNNNNNNNNNNNNNNNNNNNNNNNNNNNNNNNNNNNNNNNCCUCCCUCUUUCUUCUCCCCCCUCACCUACCUGUGUAGUAGCGUGGCCGAGCCCAGUAUAGUCGGCGGGUACAGAGAGCAGCUGUCUCCUGUACCCGCGAGCUAUACAGGGCUCAGCCACGCAACAUAGAGGGAGUGACAGGAGGGAGCGCUCAGCGCUUUCCUCCUGUCAGCCUCUCCCCAUGCUGCGCCCGGGCGGUGCGGUCCGCCCUCAUGGACGCACCGCCCGGGAAAAGCUGCAGCCGCCCGAGGCUCUUUACAGAGCGCUCGGGCGGCUGCAGCAUGAGCAGGGCCGGCGCUCCUGGCGGCGCCCCCUCCCAAGGGGCGCCCUAGGCGGCUGCCUAGUCCGCCUUACAGGUAGCGCCGGCCCUGCCUGCAGGCUUUUUAAUGCAAAUGCUGCUUUUUUAAGAGAAAAGGCAACGUUUACAUUACAGCCUAGGAAUACCUCUAGUGGUCACUCCUCAGACGGCCUCUAGAACUGCUUCCGGUGUUAGUGCAUCUCUAUGGGGUAAUGUUCAGAACCUCCAUGCAGAGCUUGGAGACACUGUGCAGCACUGAUUCAAUUCCCAUGGGAAAGCAUUGGAUUGGCAGAGAUCGUCAAACCGAAAAGAAUGAUGGUGGGUGGGGUGAUGGUGGGGCCAGCCAUGGCGAGACAAGUGCGGCAUGGGAGAAAAGAUGAGUAAAAUCACCUUUUCUGAGCGAUCUAAGGGGGUCGGUGACCUAAACAGUCACACAGGCCCUAUAGUGUUAGGAAUACAUAUUUGUAUUCCUGACACUAGUGUUACUUUAAGUUGUCCAUCUUUGUCCAUUUAAAAUGUUGAGAGGCACGCUGGUUUGAUAGUUGUGACUUCAAUCUGGAUAGAUUCGUAAUAAACAAACAUAUAGUGCAAAAAUAUCUCAGUUCAAUGCAACCCUAAGUGAAUAAACACCAGUAGAGAGUCACCAAGGCCAGCACUAGUUAUAUUGGUGUAGAGGGCAUUCCUGGAAAAUGAAGAAAUGUGCUUACUUUAAAACAAGGUGAGCACCCACAUGGGAGACUUACAGACAGAGGCGUCUCUCUAAUUAGGCGUUUAGGCGGCCGCCUAAACCGCCUGUGGGCAGACUGUGUCAGGCCCAGCCAGCCACCACAGUGAGCAGAGCUGCAGACCAUGUGUCUUGCGAAAACCGGCCACGGCAACGCUCUUCUAAUCUCGCGAGAUUACAUGGUCUGCAGCUCUGCGGAGCUGCAGACUGGAAGCAAUGGCCACCGGACCACCAGGGAGCCCACUGGACCACCAGGAAAGAAAAGGUAGGUUCUCACUCACCCCACACCACCCUCAGCCUCCCCACUACCCUACCACCCUCAGCCUCCCCACCAACCUCAGCCUCACCACCCCCCUCCUCACCACCAUCCUCAGCCCCCCCACCACCCUCAGCCUCACCACUCCCCACCACCCUCAGCCUCACCCCCCUCACCAUCAUCCCCACCACCUCCAGCAUCACCCCUCCACACUCAGCAUCACCCCCCUCACCACCCUGGGCAUCACCCCCCCACCACCCACAGCAUCACUCCCCACAGCCCUCAGCAUCACCCUCCAUCACCCCUCACCUCCCCCAUUACCCCCCCACCUCAGCAUCACCACCCACCAUCAGCCCUCACAAUCAGCCCCCUCCUCACCCUCAACAUCAACCCCCUCCUCCACAUCACCCUCCUUCUUACAUCACCCCCUCCCUCACAUCACCCCCUUACUCUCAUCAGCCCCCCUCACUCUCAUCACACCCCCCUUCUCAUCCCCCCUCUCCUUCUCACAUCACCACCCUCACAUCACCCCCCCUUCUCCAUCCCCCCUCUCCUUCUCCAUCACCACCCUCACUCUCACAUUACCCCCUCUCUCCCUCUCACCAUCACCCCCCCAUACACACAACACACUUCAAGCAGCUACCCCAUACACAAACAUGCUCACAGAGACAUACAUUCACACACACACACACACACACACACAAGGAUACUCUCUGUCAGACGCACUCUCAGGCACAUACACAGGUAGACAGUGCCUCAAUGUGUAUAUGUGACACUUUUUAGUUAGUGGGGCCUCAUGUUUGAGUUUCGCCUAAGGCCCCAUAAAGUCUAGAGCCGCCUCUGCUUACAGACAGGCAUAUACAACAAAUAUGAGGCUCCAGAAGACAACUGGCAUGGUUUGAGAAGAGGGAGAAGAUUUUAAAAUGGUGGAAACCAUGCCACACAUUUCCGGAAGAAGCCCAGGUAGCACAGGGGAACACAUCACUUGACAUCUGGCGUUAUAGAAGACGGGGGAGUAAGCACAGCGAGGAAACAACCAUACAGCCUUGCAAGUUCUCUUAUUACAUAUCUAUCCAGACUGAAGUUAGAACUAUCACAUAUAGCAUACGUUUAUAAAUACUUGUUUUUAAUUGCACAGCAUAGCACUUUUUAUGGGGUUGUCAAUAAAUAUAUGGAUCUAAUUUAUAUUAACAGCCUAUAACAUUAAUAUUAUAUGUUAAUUUUAUAUCUUUUUUUUUUUAUCUAAGGGAGCCCAAGAUUAUUUGUGCCCUAUAUAAAGUACAUUUUUGGCAACAAAAAUCCAGUAUAUUUAGUAUAUAUAGCAGUUUGAUCCAUAGAUGGACUGAUCUACUGAACAAUGCUAUGAAGUUCAAAUUGUAUUUUCAAAAAGUAAAAAAAUAAAUAAAAAGCAGACCUACCACUUUGUCCUAAAAUAUCUUGGCCAGAUAUUGUAUCACAAAGGUUUUUAAAGUACCAGCGAGGAAGCCUGGGAAAACAUAAGCCUACAAUGCACCCUUUUGCUCAUGUUCGAGUGCCUGCUUGGGUGCAUACACGAUGAUUAAAGCACUUUAUGAAAUACUUUAUGAAAUAUUCAUAUUCACUGUUGGAAUAUCACUAAAAUUCUAAGCCAGUCAAAAGAUAAACUGAGACAAAGUAGGGACUGAGAUCUAGAGCAUGCGGAGACACCAGUAGCAUAACAUGACCAUCCGGAGGAAGAUGGCGGCCUCCGCCAGGGACAAGUUCGGGUAAGUUAAAUUUUGUCUACCCCCAGCAGCGAUGUCACCAUUAGGAGUCUUUGCAAAUUAUGCAAAGUCCCCAGAUGUUGACAGAUCCGCUUUAAUAGAAGACUUUGCAAAAAAUAUCAUUUGAUCUUUACAUGUGCUGGUAAUUGGUAUUUCAUAACCGUCAGAUCAUAAUUAUGCUCUUGAAAAACAGUAGGAUUUCUUGCGCAUCAGAUAUCAUUGACAUAAAGAAGGUGGGUUGCUUGUUCAAUGGAGUGGUUUAAACAACAUAUAUAUGUAUAUAAUGUAGAACUCUAUGACUAUAAUAUUUGAUUUUGCAGAAUGUCCCUGGUAAUAAGUCCGAUGCUGUCAGAGCACACCUGUGAUGAUGGCGCUGCAACCUUCAGACACACGUCAAGAAAGGGUCCAACAGAGGUCAUCAUACAGGAGAAGACUAAAUGGUCUUACUACCACAAGCCCAUCACUAUCAUCAUUUUUGGAGUAAUAGUCCUGCUCACUGGAAUACUUUACACAAUCUUCUACUUCACUAAAUAUGUGGAUGUACCAUAUGCCUUGGGGCCAGUCUUCCUCUCGAUUGGGCUUAUGUUUUUGGUGACUGGAUUAGUCUGGUUGCCCAUUGUCACAGAAUCUAUUAGACGUAAAGGUCUUCUGAGAAAGAUUAAUGCACAUACAGCUACUGUGACUUGACUGUCAAACCUCCAUGCAGUGUAUUUACUUUUGCUACAUAUAUUAAAAUAGCACAUGGGUUAUAUCCUUAUUCAAGACUAUUUAUAAUGAAAGCAACAUACCUUCCUACAAACAAUAUUUAAUUUUGGCUUUCUUUACAUUUGGUCUUAUUAAUAUUCAUCCCAAUCAUAACAUUUCAUAUUGAUCAACUAUUUUAAUCGUAUACUAUAACAUGCUGUCCCUAAAUAAAAUUUCUUUACCAAGGCUCUAUUCUUCCCUCUGAACUCCUGCAGAUAGAAUGCAAAUUGUGUCUGCUUUCCUUUUCCAACAAUCUACAGCAACUAUUGUAUAUCAAACUUC
rnacentral:lncRNA from 1 species